rnacentral:rRNA from 1 species
GACGAACGCUGGCGGCGUGCCUAAUACAUGCAAGUCGAGCGGACAGAUAAGGAGCUUGCUCCUUUGAAGUCAGCGGCGGACGGGUGAGUAACACGUGGGCAACCUGCCCUGUAGACUGGGAUAACUUCGGGAAACCGGAGCUAAUACCGGAUAAUACUUUUGAACUCAUGUUUGGAAGUUGAAAGAUGGUUUCGGCUAUCACUACAGGAUGGGCCCGCGGCGCAUUAGCUAGUUGGUAAGGUAACGGCUUACCAAGGCAACGAUGCGUAGCCGACCUGAGAGGGUGAUCGGCCACACUGGGACUGAGACACGGCCCAGACUCCUACGGGUGGCAG